GACAGUUGACUUUUGCCGGGAUAAUUAAGGAUACUAUACAAUGGUUCUCACUCAGAAGCAGCGUGAUGAUCUGCAUGGUGCAAUUUUGGAGUACAUAGGAAAUUUGGGUGAAGGUUUUACUGCUAGUGCGGCA
rnacentral:ribozyme from 1 species